rnacentral:lncRNA from 1 species
CUGAAUGACCUACCCUAAUCCCUCAUUUUACUAUGAUAGCCGCCUUUGAAAUCCUUCAUCUCUCAACUCUCUCAAAACCCUUCAGAACCCUAGCCUCCUCCUACCUUAUUUCACCGAAUUCUUGCCGGAAUCUAUGGCCUCUCUGACCAUGGACAGUCUGUACCAGCCCCCUCCACCAUUAAACCAUGGUUGUUUGAAGCUUCAGGACUUGACCUCGAUAGUUUUCUUUCAGAUCUUUUGUUCUAUGGCCCUAUCAGCCUUUGCUCCGACAUAUUCAAGAUUCAGGAGCCUGAAUACUAACCUCUCCAACUCGGGAUCUAAUUCUUCUUUCAAGGCUUUCUCAUUUCUAGGGUUUCUCCGAGAGCCUGAGCUAUUCGAGGUUCUUUCUCUGUUGUUGGUUUAGAUCUAUGAUGUAUCUAUGUUUUAC